AUACGUAGGGGGCAAGCGUUAUCCGGAUUUACUGGGUGUAAAGGGUGCGUAGGCGGGACUGCAAGUCAGACGUGAAAUACCGAGGCUUAACCUCGGGGCUGCGUUUGAAACUGUAGUUCUUGAGUGAAGUAGAGGCAGGCGGAAUUCCUAGUGUAGCGGUGAAAUGUGUAGAUAUUAGGAGGAACACCAGUGGCGAAGGCGGCCUGCUGGGCUUUAACUGACGCUGAUGCACGAAAGCAUGGGGAGC
rnacentral:rRNA from 1 species